rnacentral:rRNA from 1 species
CCUACGGAGGCUGCAGUGAGGAAUAUUGGUCAAUGGCCGGAAGGCUGAACCAGCCAUGCCGCGUGAAGGUCAGUGCCCUAUGGGCGUUAAACUUCUUUUGUGCGGGAGCAAUAAUGGUCACGUGUGGCCAGACGAGAGUACCGUACGAAUAAGCAUCGGCUAACUCCGUGCCAGCAGCCGCGGUCAUACGUAGGAUCCGAGCAUUAUCCGGAGUGACUGGGGGUAAAGAGUUGCGUAGGUGGGAUAAUAAGUAGCUAGUGAAAACUGGUGGCUCAACCAUUCAGACUAUUAGCUAAACUGUUAAGAUCGAGACCGUUAGGGGUAACUGGAAUUUGUAGUGUAGGAGUGAAAUCCGUAGAUAUUAGAAAGAACACCGAUAGCGUAGGCAGGUUACUGGGACGGUUCUGACACUAAGGCACGAAAGCGUAGGGAGCAAACGGGAUUAGAUACCCGGGUAGUC